rnacentral:rRNA from 1 species
AGAGUUUGAUCCUGGCUCAGAAUCAACGCUGGCGGCGUGCCUCAGACAUGCAAGUCGAACGCGAAAGUCCCCUUCGGGGGACGAGUAGAGUGGCGUCCGGGUGAGUAACACGUGAGUAAUUUGCCUUCGGGUGGGGAAUAACAGCCGGAAACGGCUGCUAAUACCGCAUGAUGCAGCGGCACCUCAUGGUGACAGUUGUUAAAGCGGGGGACCAGCAAUGGCCUCGCGCCUGAAAAGAAGCUCGCGGCAUAUUAGCUAGUUGGCAGGGUAACGGCCUACCAAGGCAACGAUCUGUAGCCGGCCUGAGAGGGCGGUCGGCCACACUGACACUGACACACGGGUCAGACUCCUACGGGAGGCAGCAGUCGGGAAUUUUGGGCAAUGGGCGAAAGCCUGACCCAGCAACGCCGCGUGAAGGAUGAAUUUUUUCGGAAUGUAAACUUCACAAGAAUGGGAAGAAUAAGUCAGGGUUAACACCCCUGAUGAUGACGGUACCAUUUGUAAGCUCCGGCUAACUCCGUGCCAGCAGCCGCGGUAAUACGGGGGGAGCAAGCGUUGUUCGUAUUUACUGGGCGUAAAGGGCGCGUAGG